GUAGGUGGCAAGCGUUGUCCGGAAUUAUUGGGCGUAAAGCGCGCGCAGGCGGUUCUUUAAGUCUGAUGUGAAAGCCCACGGGCUCAACCGUGGAGGGUCAUUGGAAACUGGAGGACUUGAGUACAGAAGAGGAAAGCGGAAUUCCACGUGUAGCGGUGAAAUGCGUAGAGAUGUGGAGGAACACCAGUGGCGAAGGCGGCUUUCUGGUCUGUAACUGACGCUGAGGCGCGAAAGCGUGGGGAGCAAACAGGAUUAGAUACCCUGGUAGUCCACGCCGUAAACGAUGAGUGCUAAGUGUUAGGGGGUUUCCGCCCCUUAGUGCCGCAGCUAACGCAUUAAGCACUCCGCCUGGGGAGUACGGCCGCAAAGGCUG
rnacentral:rRNA from 1 species